rnacentral:rRNA from 1 species
GACUAACGCUGGCGGCGUGCCUAAUACAUGCAAGUCGAGCGAACAGAUGAGAAGCUUGCUUCUCUGAUGUUAGCGGCGGACGGGUGAGUAACACGUGGGUAACCUACCUAUAAGACUGGGAUAACUCCGGGAAACCGGGGCUAAUACCGGAUAAUAUUUUGAACCGCAUGGUUCAAUAGUGAAAGACGGUUUCGGCUGUCACUUAUAGAUGGACCAGCGCCGUAUUAGCUAGUUGGUAAGGUAACGGCUUACCAAGGCGACGAUACGUAGCCGACCUGAGAGGGUGAUCGGCCACACUGGAACUGAGACACGGUCCAGACUCCUACGGGAGGCAGCAGUAGGGAAUCUUCCGCAAUGGGCGAAAGCCUGACGGAGCAACGCCGCGUGAGUGAUGAAGGUCUUCGGAUCGUAAAUCUCUGUUGUUAGGGAAGAACAAAUUUGUUAGUAACUGAACAAGUCUUGACGGUACCUAACCAGAAAGCCACGGCUAACUACGUGCCAGCAGCCGCCGUAA